GGUCAUAUCGCCGCGUUGACUAGAUAACGAAGGACAAUGCAUAUAUACAAAAUUGCUGUAUUGCCUGGUGAUAUGCAGCUGUACCUGUGACAUCAUAAUUGCACCCUCCGACAUGAUAUCUCUUCCAAAUGCUUGAUGAAAAAGGUGGGAGGAUCACUUGAGCCAGGGAGUUGAAGGCUGCAGUGAGCCCUGUUUUUGCCACCACACUCCAGCUUGGGAAGUGAGGAGCGUCUCUGCCUGGCCACCCAUUGUCUGAGAUGUGAGGAGCCUCUCUGCCCGGCUGCCCAGUCUGGGAAAUGAGG
rnacentral:lncRNA from 1 species